rnacentral:rRNA from 1 species
CGAUCGAGACCCGCACCCCUAGUUGCUACCAAGGAAGUUUUCCGAGGGGCACUCUAGGGGGACUGCCGUCGAUAAGACGGAGGAAGGAGCGGGCCACGGCAGGUCAGUAUGCCCCGANUCCCCCGGGCUACACGCGAGCUGCAAUGGCAGGGACAAUGGGUUCCGACCUUGAAAAAGGAAGGCAAUCUCUAAACCCUGUCGCAGUUGGGAUCGAAGGCUGAAACUCGCCUUCGUGAACAUGGAAUGCCUAGUAAUCGCGCGUCAUCAUCGCGCGGUGAAUACGUCCCCGCUCCUUGCACACACCGCCCGUCGCUCCAUCCGAGUGGGGUUUGGGUGAGGCGUGGUCUUUAUGGCUGCGUCGAAUCUGAGUUCCGCAAGGAGGGAGAAGUCGUAACAAGGUAACC